CGCAUUGAUCCAUUCGUACUAGGC
rnacentral:sRNA from 1 species